UACAGUCCAGCAUUCUGCUGGCCAGGCAGGUGACGGGAGGAGGAGCAGUAUUACAGUCCAGCAUUCUGCUGGCCAGGCAGGUGACGGGAGGAGGAGCAGUAUUACAGUCCAGCAUUCUGCUGGCCAGGCAGGUGACGGGAGGUGCUAGGAGCAGUAUUACAGUCCAGCAUUCUGCUGGCCAGGCAGGUGACGGGAGGAGCUAGGAGCAGUAUUACAGUCCAGCAUUCUGCUGGCCAGGCAGGUGACGGGAGGAGCUAGGAGCAGUAUUACAGUCCAGCAUUCUGCUGGCCAGGCAGGUGACGGGAGGAGGAGCAGUAUUACAGUCCAGCAUUCUGCUGGCCAGGCAGGUGACGGGAGGAGCUAGGAGCAGUAUUACAGUCCAGCAUUCUGCUGGCCAGGCAGGUGACGGGAGGAGCUAGGAGCAGUAUUACAGUCCAGCAUUCUGCUGGCCAGGCAGGUGACGGGAGGAGCUAGGAGCAGUAUUACAGUCCAGCAUUCUGCUGGCCAGGCAGGUGACGGGAGGAGCUAGGAGCAGUAUUACAGUCCAGCAUUCUGCUGGCCAGGCAGGUGACGGGAGGAGCUAGGAGCAGUACUACAGUCCAACAUUCUGCUGGCCAGGCAGGUGACGGGAGGAGGAGCAGUAUUACAGUCCAGCAUUCUGCUGGCCAGGCAGGUGACGGGAGGAGGAGCAGUAUUACAGUCCAGCAUUCUGCUGGCCAGGCAGGUGACGGGAGGAGCUAGGAGCAGUAUUACAGUCCAGCAUUCUGCUGGCCAGGCAGGUGACGGGAGGAGGAGCAGUAUUACAGUCCAGCAUUCUGCUGGCCAGGCAGGUGACGGGAGGAGGAGCAGUAUUACAGUCCAGCAUUCUGCUGGCCAGGCAGGUGACGGGAGGAGGAGCAGUAUUACAGUCCAGCAUUCUGCUGGCCAGGCAGGUGACGGGAAGAGGAGCAGUAUUACAGUCCAGCAUUCUGCUGGCCAGGCAGGUGACGGGAGGAGGAGCAGUACUACAGUCCAACAUUCUGCUGGCCAGGCAGGUGACGGGAGGAGGAGCAGUAUUACAGUCCAGCAUUCUGCUGGCCAGGCAGGUGACGGGAGGAGGAGCAGUAUUACAGUCCAGCAUUCUGCUGGCCAGGCAGGUGACGGGAGGAGGAGCAGUAUUACAGUCCAGCAUUCUGCUGGCCAGGCAGGUGACGGGAGGAGGAGCAGUAUUACAGUCCAGCAUUCUGCUGGCCAGGCAGGUGACGGGAGGAGGAGCAGUAUUACAGUACAGCAUUCUGCUGGCCAGGCAGGUGACGGGAGGAGGAGCAGUAUUACAGUCCAGCAUUCUGCUGGCCAGGCAGGUGACGGGAGGAGCUAGGAGCAGUAUUACAGUCCAGCAUUCUGCUGGCCAGGCAGGUGACGGGAGGAGCUAGGAGCAGUAUUACAGUCCAGCAUUCUGCUGGCCAGGCAGGUGACGGGAGGAGCUAGGAGCAGUACUACAGUCCAACAUUCUGCUGGCCAGGCAGGUGACGGGAGGAGCUAGGAGCAGUAUUACAGUCCAGCAUUCUGCUGGCCAGGCAGGUGACGGGAGGAGCUAGGAGCAGUAUUACAGUCCAGCAUUCUGCUGGCCAGGCAGGUGACGGGAGGAGGAGCAGUAUUACAGUCCAGCAUUCUGCUGGCCAGGCAGGUGACGGGAGGAGGAGCAGUAUUACAGUCCAGCAUUCUGCUGGCCAGGCAGGUGACGGGAGGAGGAGCAGUAUUACAGUCCAGCAUUCUGCUGGCCAGGCAGGUGACGGGAGGAGGAGCAGUAUUACAGUCCAGCAUUCUGCUGGCCAGGCAGGUGACGGGAGGAGGAGCAGUACUACAGUCCAGCAUUCUGCUGGCCAGGCAGGUGACGGGAGGAGGAGCAGUAUUACAGUCCAGCAUUCUGCUGGCCAGGCAGGUGACGGGAGGAGGAGCAGUAUUACAGUCCAGCAUUCUGCUGGCCAGGCAGGUGACGGGAGGAGGAGCAGUAUU